GACGAACGCUGGCGGCGUGCUUAACACAUGCAAGUCGAACGGAAAGGCCCUGCUUUUGUGGGGUGCUCGAGUGGCGAACGGGUGAGUAACACGUGAGUAACCUGCCCUUGGCUUUGGGAUAACUUCAGGAAACUGGGGCUAAUACCGGAUAGGAGCUCCUGCUGCAUGGUGGGGGUUGGAAAGUUUCGGCGGUUGGGGAUGGACUCGCGGCUUAUCAGCUUGUUGGUGGGGUAGUGGCUUACCAAGGCUUUGACGGGUAGCCGGCCUGAGGGGGUGACCGGCCACAUUGGGACUGAGAUACGGCCCAGACUCCUACGGGAGGCAGCAGUGGGGAAUAUUGCACAAUGGGCGGAAGCCUGAUGCAGCAACGCCGCGUGCGGGAUGACGGCCUUCGGGUUGUAAACCGCUUUCGCCUGUGACGAAGCGUGAGUGACGGUAAUGGGUAAAGAAGCACCGGCUAACUACGUG
rnacentral:rRNA from 1 species